GAUAGUCAGCUAAAAAAGCUUUCGGGCCCAUACCCCGAACAUGAUGGUUAAAACCCAUCCCCCAUCA
rnacentral:tRNA from 1 species